GACGAACGCUGGCGGCGUGCCUAAUACAUGCAAGUUGAGCGAUGAAGAUUGGUGCUUGCACCAAUUUGAAGAGCAGCGAACGGGUGAGUAACGCGUGGGGAAUCUGCCUUUGAGCGGGGGACAACAUUUGGAAACGAAUGCUAAUACCGCAUAACAACUUUAAACAUAAGUUUUAAGUUUGAAAGAUGCAAUUGCAUCACUCAAAGAUGAUCCCGCGUUGUAUUAGCUAGUUGGUGAGGUAAAGGCUCACCAAGGCGAUGAUACAUAGCCGACCUGAGAAGGUGAUCGGCCACAUUGGGACUGAGACACGGCCCAAACUCCUACGGGAGGCAGCAGUAGGGAAUCUUCGGCAAUGGACGAAAGUCUGACCGAGCAACGCCGCGUGAGUGAAGAAGGUUUUCGGAUCGUAAAACUCUGUUGGUAGAGAAGAACGUUGGUGAGAGUGGAAAGCUCAUCAAGUGACGGUAACUACCCAGAAAGGGACGGCUAACUACGUG
rnacentral:rRNA from 1 species